AGUGGGAAUAUUGCACAAUGGGCGCAAGCCUGAUGCAGCAACGCCGUGUGAGUGAAGAAGGUUUUCGGAUCGUAAAAACUCUGUCCUAAGGGAAGAAACAAAUGACGGUACCUUAGGAGGAAGCCCCGGCUAACUACGUGCCAGCAGCCGCGGUAAUACGUAGGGGCAAGCGUUAUCCGGAAUCACUGGGCGUAAAGGGUGCGUAGGCGGCUUAGCAAGCCAGGGGUGAAAAGGCAUUGGCUCAACCAAAUGUAAGCCUUUGGAAACUGUUAAGCUUGAGUGCAGGAGAGGUAAGUGGAAUUCCUAGUGUAGAGGUGAAAAUUCGUAGAUAUUAGGAGGAACACCAGUGGCGAAGGCGACUUACUGGACUGUAACUGACGCUGAUGCACGAAAGCGUGGGUAGCGAACAGGAUUAGAUACCCUGGUAG
rnacentral:rRNA from 1 species